UGACUGGCGGACUGUGAGCUUGCAAUGGA
rnacentral:sRNA from 1 species